GUGUUUCCGCCCAGAGCUGGAGUCUCCCAGCUGCCAGCCGACCCCGAACCCGCACUCCCGCCAACCGCGCUUUUUGUGGGCGGUCGGAAACCACAGCCUCCGUUGGAUAUGUUCGGUGCAUGUUAUAAACAACCACUUAAACCCUCCGGAUCUGAGCCUCCCGCAGAGGAAUGCAGAAUGACGCCACGGCACGCAGGAUGUGAUGUCACCGAGAUGCAGAGGAUACUCAGUCAACCAACAUUUACUGAGCAUCUACUUCGUGCCGUAUGUACGAAGCUAGCAAAUAUGUACAGCACCAGUACUGAUUGCAGGGAGCACUGUAGAAGAGGAAUGAAGGCCAAACAAUUAAAAGCGGAGGCGGGGAGGUCUUGUCAACGGAAAGGGGUCCCUAUCCAGACCCCAAGAGAGCAUUCUUGGAUCUCUUGCAAGAAAGAAUUUGAGGCGAAUCCAUAGAGUAAGAUGGAGUUUUGCUCUUGUUGCCCAGGUUGGAGUGCAGUGGUGUGAUCUUGACUCACUGAAACCUCCGCCUCCUGAGUUCAAG
rnacentral:lncRNA from 1 species